rnacentral:lncRNA from 1 species
CGCCAGUGUUAAAUUCAGUUAACUAAAGUUCAGUUAAGCUUCAGUUAAUUAAAGUUCACUUUUAAAGUUUUAGAUUCAGCUUUUAAAGUUUAAGUUCAGGUUAGAUUCAGAUUUUUAAAGUUUAUGUUCAGGUUAGAUUCAGCUUUUAAAGUUUAAGUUCAGGUUAGAUUCAGAUUUUAAAGUUCAGGUUAGAUUUUAAAGUUCAGGUUUAAGAAAUAGAGAGAGAUAGAAGAGAGAGAUAGAGAGAUUGAGAGGAGAGAAGAAAGAUUGAGAUGUCAAGAUACAGUUUUAAGUUCAGUCAGAUUCAGGUUUAGAUUUUGAUUUACAUAAGUUCAAACUUAGGUUCGGAUUUAAAUAAGUUUAAACUUAGGUUCAAAAGAUUGAGAGGAGACAAGGGAAUAUAUUGAGAUUGAGAGAAGAGAGAUUAAGAAGAGAUUAAGGGAUUGAGAUGAGAGAGGAGAGGAGAGAUGAGAUUGAGAGGAGAGAAGAGAGAUUGAGAGGAGAGGAUGCAUAUAUAUUCAGCAUGCAUAUAGAGAGAAGAGAGAUUGAGAUUGAGGUCUACAACAUGCAUAUAUAUUCAGCAAUCAAAAAGUGAGGUUUACAACAUGCAUAUAUAUUCAGCAAUCAAAAAGUGAGGUUUACAACAUGCAUAGCGGCAUAGUGUUAAUUAAAAGAUGUACAAGGAAAAGAUAGAGUACAGUAAGAGUACUUAUCUUGAUAUGAAUUGCAGAUAUA